rnacentral:rRNA from 1 species
AUUGAACGCUGGCGGAAUGCUUUAUACAUGCAAGUCGAGCGGCAGCACGGGGGCAACCCUGGUGGCGAGCGGCGAACGGGUGAGUAACACAUCGGAACGUACCCUGUCGUGGGGGAUAACGAGUCGAAAGAUUCGCUAAUACCGCAUACGACCCGAGGGUGAAAGCGGGGGAUCGCAAGACCUCGCGCGACUGGAGCGGCCGAUGGCGGAUUAGCUAGUUGGUGGGGUAAAGGCCCACCAAGGCGACGAUCCGUAGCGGGUCUGAGAGGACGGCCCGCCACACUGGGACUGAGACACGGCCCAGACUCCUACGGGAGGCAGCAGUGGGGAAUUUUGGACAAUGGGGGCAACCCUGAUCCAGCCAUUCCGCGUGAGUGAAGAAGG